GACGAACGCUGGCGGCGUGCUUAACACAUGCAAGUCGAACGAGAGGACAAGAGAAGCUUGCUUCUUUUGGAAUCGAGUGGCAAACGGGUGAGUAACACGUAAACAACCUGCCUUCAGGAUGGGGACAACAGACGGAAACGACUGCUAAUACCGAAUACGCUUGGGAGACCGCAUGAUCUUCCAAGGAAAGGGUGGCCUCUACUUGUAAGCUAUCGCCUGAAGAGGGGUUUGCGUCUGAUUAGGCAGUUGGUGAGGUAACGGCCCACCAAACCUACGAUCAGUAGCCGGUCUGAGAGGAUGAACGGCCACACUGGAACUGAGACACGGUCCAGACUCCUACGGGAGGCAGCAGUGGGGGAAUCUUCCGCAAUGGGCGAAAGCCUGACGGAGCAACGCCGCGUGAGUGAUGACGGCCUCGGUUGUAAG
rnacentral:rRNA from 1 species